GUGAACGCUGGCGGUAGGCCUAACACAUGCCAGUCGAACGGCAGCACAGUAAGAGCUUGCUCUUACGGGUGGCGAGUGGCGGACGGGUGAGGAAUACAUCGGAAUCUACUUUUUCGCGGGGGAUAACGUAGGGAAACUUACGCUAAUACCGCAUACGACCUACGGGUGAAAGCAGGGGAUCUUCGGACCUUGAGCGAUUGAAUGAGCCGAUGUCGGAUUAGCUAGUUGGCGGGGUAAAGGCCCACCACGGCGACGAUCCGUAGCUGGUCUGCGAGGAUGAUCAGCCACACUGGAACUGAGACACGGUCCAGACUCCUACGGGAGGCAGCAGUGGGGAAUAUUGGACAAUGGGCGCAAGCCUGAUCCAGCCAUACCGCGUGGGUGAAGAAGGCCUUCGGGUUGUAAAGCCCUUUUGUUGGGAAAGAAAAGCAGCAGGUUAAUACCCCGCUGUUCUGACGGUACCCAAAGAAUAAGCACCGGCUAACUUCGUG
rnacentral:rRNA from 1 species